rnacentral:ncRNA from 2 species
UAGUUCCACAAGGGGGGCUGCGACAUGCGGCUGAGAGUGAAUGUUCGAGUUCUGACCCUUUGAACCUGUUAGUUAGCACUAGCGUAGGGAUGUGGAUUUGCCGGUUA